GCCCCGGUAGCUCAGUGGUAGGAGCUCCUGUGUGUGGUGAGCGAAAGCGCUAUUCAUAACUACGAGGAGGUCGCAGGUUCGAAUCCUCCACUCUGGCU
rnacentral:tRNA from 1 species